GACGAACGCUGGCGGCGUGCUUAACACAUGCAAGUCGAACGAUGAAGCCGGAGCUUGCUCUGAUGAAUUAGUGGCGAACGGGUGAGUAACACGUGAGUAACCUGCCCUUGACUCUGGGAUAACUGCUAGAAAUGGUAGCUAAUACCGGAUACGACCCUCGGAGGCAUCUCCAGGGGGUGGAAAGAAUUUCGGUCAAGGAUGGACUCGCGGCCUAUCAGCUAGUUGGUGAGGUAACGGCUCACCAAGGCGACGACGGGUAGCCGGCCUGAGAGGGUGACCGGCCACACUGGGACUGAGACACGGCCCAGACUCCUACGGGAGGCAGCAGUGGGGAAUAUUGCACAAUGGGCGCAAGCCUGAUGCAGCAACGCCGCGUGAGUGAUGAAGGCCCUAGGGUUGUAAAGCUCUUUCGGCGGGGAAGAUAGUGACGGUACCCGCAGAAGAAGCCCCGGCUAACUUCGUGCCAGCAGCCGCGGUAA
rnacentral:rRNA from 1 species